GAUGAACGCUAGCGGCAGGCUUAAUACAUGCAAGUCGAGGAGCAGCAUAAGUAGCAAUACUUGAUGGCGACCGGCAAACGGGUGCGGAACACGUACGCAACCUUCCUUUAAGUGGGGAAUAGCCCGGGGAAACCCGGAUUAAUACCCCGUAAUAUUAUGAUGUGGCACCACAUUAUAAUUAUAGAUUCAUCGCUUAAAGAUGGGCGUGCGCCUGAUUAGGUAGUUGGCGGAGUAAUAGCCCACCAAGCCUGCGAUCAGUAACUGGUGUGAGAGCACGACCAGUCACACGGGCACUGAGACACGGGCCCGACUCCUACGGGGGCAGCAGUAAGGAAUAUUGGUCAAUGGACGCAAGUCUGAACCAGCCAUGCCGCGUGGAGGAUGAAGGUCCUCUGGAUUGUAAACUUUCUUUUAUUUGGGAAGAAAUGUGAUGAUUCUUUAUCUACUUGACGGUACCAGAUGAAUAAGCACCGGCUAACGUCCGUGCCAGCCGCC
rnacentral:rRNA from 1 species